rnacentral:piRNA from 1 species
UUCCAACUGCAGGAUGUGUUUACUUCUCU